UACGAAGGGGGCUAGCGUUGCUCGGAAUCACUGGGCGUAAAGGGUGCGUAGGCGGGUCUUUAAGUCAGGGGUGAAAUCCUGGAGCUCAACUCCAGAACUGCCCUUGAUACUGAGGAUCUUGAGUUCGGGAGAGGUGAGUGGAACUGCGAGUGUAGAGGUGAAAUUCGUAGAUAUUCGCAAGAACACCAGUGGCGAAGGCGGCUCACUGGCCCGGUACUGACGCUGAGGAGCGAAAGCGUGGGGAGCAAACAGG
rnacentral:rRNA from 1 species